AGUACUGCUUUGGGGUUCGACUAAGCCAUGCGAGUCUAUGGACUUCGGUCCAUGGCGGACGGCUCAGUAACACGUGGCUAACCUACCCUCGGGUGGGGGAUAACCUCGGGAAACUGAGGAUAAUACCCCAUAGGAGAAGAGGUCUGGAAUGAUCCUUCUCUGAAAACAUAUGUGCCCGAGGAUGGGGCUGCGUCUGAUUAGGUAGUUGGUGGGGUAACNGGCCCACCAAGCCUACGAUCAGUACGGGCCUUGAGAGAGGCAGCCCGGAGAUGGGGACUGAGACACGGCCCCAGGCCCUACGGGGCGCAGCAGGCGCGAAACCUCCGCAAUGCACGAAAGUGCGACGGGGGGACCCCAAGUGCUUACGCACUGCGUAGGCUUUUCUAAAGUGUAAAAAGCUUUAGGAAUAAGGGCUGGGCAAGUCCGGUGCCAGCAGCCGCAGUAACACCGGCGGCCCGAGUGGUGACCACUUUUAUUGGGCCUAAAGCGUCCGUAGUCGGUCCAGUAAGUCCCUGUUUAAAUCCUACGGCUUAACCGUAGGGCUGGCAGGGAUACUGCUGGACUUGGGACCGGGAGAGGGCGAGGGUACUUCAGGGGUAGCGGUGAAAUGUGUUGAUCCCUGGAGGCCACCUAUGGCGAAGGCACUCGCCUGGAACGGGUCCGACGGUGAGGGACGAAAGCCAGGGGCGCGAACCGGAUUAGAUACCCGGGUAGUCCUGGCCGUAAACUCUGCGGACUAGGUGUUAGGUAGGCCCCGUGCCUAUCUAGUGCCGAANGGAAGCCGUUAAGUCCGCCGCCUGGGGAGUACGGUCGCAAGACUGAAACUUAAAGGA
rnacentral:rRNA from 1 species